rnacentral:tRNA from 4 species
AGUCCCGUAGUGUAGUGGUCCAUCAUAUGGCACUCUGGAUGCCAUGACCCUGGUUCGAAUCCGGGCGGGACUACCA